rnacentral:lncRNA from 1 species
AUGCAGAGCCAGCCCCUCAGCCCUCUCCCUGUCCCACAGCCCAGGGGCGGGAGCUGGGGUGCUGCUGGUAGAGGGUGGGGGGGGCCAGGACUGAGACUGAGGAGAUCUUGGCCCACAGGGGCUCCCCUGGGGCCACUGCCCAGGAGACAGGGGAGGAGACUAGACUAGGGCCCCCAAACCUGCCACUCGCCAGAAAGGACUUUCCAAAUGGAAAAAGCUGCAAGGACUGGUAGGAGUGGAGGGGGAGGGGCUGUGGGAGGCCAGGCCCCUCGGUCCCAGGCUAGGCUCUAGAAAGAAGUGGGUGGGCAGUCUGAGUCCUCCCACAUUUUGCCUCAGUUUGACCAUCUAUGCAAAGGAAUCGUGUAGGCAGGAGAAGAAAAACGGAGUAAUACACAGCGAGCCCUCCAACCCCAGCAGAAAGGACAUGUGUUAUGUGCUCAGGGUUUGGGGUUUUGGGGCUUCUACUUCCUUGGGGGGUUCCUUGCAAUCUCCACCUGUUGUGAUUCUGGAGGCUGAAGAAGCUACUACAGGGGAAGCAGAGUAG